rnacentral:lncRNA from 10 species
UGCACGCGCGCGGGUCCGGAGGCGCGCCCGAAUUCCCCGCAGGGGCGCCGGGGCGUGCGUGAGCGCACAGCAUGUCCGAGCCCGCCUGCGUGUGGCGUGCACCUGAGCGCGCGCAGGGCCGCGCGGCUCGGCGUCCCCGUGCACCACGGCUGGAGUGCCUCAGGAGCGCGCCGCAUGUGCGUGCCCGGUGCGCGUGCGCCGGGGCCGCCAGGGCAUCGGAGCGGGUGUGCGGCCAGCGGUCUUAGCCCGUCCGGGGGCACCGUCACGGUCAGGGCCACGCCACGGGCGGCCCCUUCUCCCGGCGCCGCCUCCUCUGCCUGGGCGCGGGCCGAGGCCCUCGCCGCGCUCCCCGGGGCCUGCCUCCCAUCCCGCUCCGCUGGGGUUCAGAGCGUUCCGUGAGGAGCAGAGGGGCGUCCCCAGCUCCGUCAAACAGCCCUUUCUGUUUCUGGAGUCCUACAAGUGGAGGCCCAAAUCCGUUCCCAUGUUGAGGCAAGGCCCUGGCUGUUCCUUCCUCUCUGGAAACCGCCUUGAACUCUUCCUUUGGGACAUGCCUCCUCGACCAGCCUUGAAGGGGUGCUCCUCUCUCACUACCUGGAACCAAACACCCCCUUCCUUUGUGUACAAGGGCAAUAAAGAGUAGACCUUCAUCUUCUUUAUUUU